CAUGAAGUUGGAAUCGCUAGUAAUCGCGGAUCAGCAUGUCGCGGUGAAUACGUUCCCGGGUCUUGUACACACCGCCCGUCACACCAUGGGAGCGGGUUUUACCAGAAGUAGGUAGCUUAACCGCAAGGAGGGCGCUUACCACGGUAGGAUUCGUGACUGGGGUGAAGUCGUAACAAGGUAGCCGUAUCGGAAGGUGCGGCUGGAUCACCUCCUUU
rnacentral:rRNA from 2 species